AUUCAUCCUCAUUGCAACCAAAAUAUUAUUGCCACCGAAUUUAGGUAAGAAUCACUCUUGUGUCUAACUUUUAACAUUACAUUAGCAAGUUUUGAAUUUAACAAACUUCAGACAUUUUUGGCUAGAGUAGCUUCAACGACAGCCUGAGCUAUGGGGUGGUAAGAAUCACAGGCCUCCGAGAAUACCCUUCUAGCGAAAUCUCUGUCUUCUUCCUUCCUAUCACCUUGUAUGAGUGCACUGUAGAGUGGACGAAGGUAUAAUAUCCUGCCAACUUCUUUCAGAGUUCUUUCUACCACACCAUAGUAGUCUCUGCACCUUGCUGAAAUGGCCAGCUGAAGAAAAGCUACCUUGACCUCAUAAUUUUUGGACUCUGAAAGAUGAUACAGAGCAUCUAAAGCUCUUACCUGAGAUGCUUCAAUAGAUUUGGGCAGGUUCUCAAGGUAAAGUUCCCAUUCCUGUCCCUUCCACUCAGCAACUUCAUCCUCCCUUGGUAUCCUACCUAGCUUGAACUCAUUAGCAAGCGAAACAAUCUUUGAGUAAAGGUUAGAGACUGGUUCCAUGGCAUCCGGAGGGAUCCCAGUGCCCUCAGUCCAAAGUUUCAAAUCGAUCUCGUUCUCUAUUCCAGGGACAUUAGCUUUAAGGAAAUUGAGAAACAUAUCAGUGUCAAUAGACUGAAAUUUGAAGGUAGCAAUAUACUUCUUCAGAAAGACAUCAAAAGCAGGUCUUCCAAUCUGUCUCUCAAUACGCUGUAAAAACUGGAAGCCUUUUUCAUAUGGAAUUACAGAGUACACUUCAUCCGGAUCCACACCUGCCUGACUUGUCUUUAGCUUGGUGAACUCCAUGUUAUCCUUAAAUCUCUCCACAUCCUUAACAAGCCCCAUCCAACCAAUUCCAAUAUUUAAUGAAGCAAUGUCCUCACCUUGCACGGCCUCAACAAUUCUUCUCUCUGCAUAUGUUGUGAAACCCUCAUUCAACCAAAAGUGUUCGUUGUUUUUGUUUGUGAUCAAAUUCCCUGUCCAGCCAUGAGCAAGCUCAUGCGCCACCACCUGCGAUCCACUGGCAUCCCCCUUAAUCACAGUGGGCGUUAAGAAAACCAGCCUUGGGUUUUCCAUUCCGCCAAGAGGAAAACUCGGAGGCAACACCAAAAGAUCAAACCUUUCCCAUUCAUAAGGUCCAAAAAGCCUCUCCCCAACCAUCACAAUCUCCUCCGUGCCAGCAAACUCCGUAGCAGCAGCAUCUAAUACCUCGGGAACCGCCUCAGCAUACACCCUAGUCCUAGGUCCCACCUCCCUAAACCCCAACUCCCCAAUUGCAAAUGCAAAUAAAUAAGGAGGUAUAGGCUGUUCCAUCACAAAUUCCUCCACCACCCUAUCAUCCCCACACCAUACUUCAUCCUCACAAAGCCCUCCCCCCUCAGACGGAAUCGGGUCCCUCCUCUCCACAUGUCUAGCCCCCAUAACCGCCGACAGCUCUCUCGGGAUGUUCAAUUUUGCAGUGUAUUUAACCCGUGCAGCAGGCGUAUCCUGACAAGGAAAAAUUGAACGGGCAUGAAUAGGCUGACAAUGGGUAUACAGAAAAGGGUGAUUCUUGUUGAAAGUUUGAGUAGGUGAAAGCCAUUGAAGUGCUGAACUUGAAGGACUAGUUUUCGAAAGAAUUAAGAUUUGAUGGGUUUGUUUAGAAAUGGAAAUGUUGAGUGAUUGUCCAAGAAUUGGGUCUGUAGGAGAAAGGGAGAAAGGUAAGGGGGAAAGGGAAAGAGGGUCGAGUACAGAAGAGACAGAGAGUGAGCGAGUGUCAAGAGUAAGGGGUCCAGUGUAAGGGGUAGAAAAGGAUACAAGAGUAGCAGAGGAGAUGGUGGAAGAUGGAAAAUCGAAGUAGAAAGUGAGGGAGAUAUGGGUUGUUAGUGGAUGAGUUGAAUCAGUGAAGGAAUGAGGGUCAAUGGGUGCCAUGG
rnacentral:misc_RNA from 1 species